GUAACAAGGUUUCCGUAGGUGAACCUGCGGAAGGAUCCUUACAGAGUUCAUGCCCUCACGGGUAGACCUCCCACCCUUGAAUAUACUACCUUCGUUGCUUUGGCGAGCCGCUUCGGCUACCGACCUUGGUUGGUACGUGCUCGCCGGAGAACACCAAACUCUGAAUUAAUUUGUCGUCUGAGUACUAUAUAAUAGUUAAAACUUUCAACAACGGAUCUCUUGGUUCUGGCAUCGAUGAAGAACGCAGCGAAAUGCGAUAAGUAAUGUGAAUUGCAGAAUUCAGUGAAUCAUCGAAUCUUUGAACGCACAUUGCGCCCCCUGGUAUUCCGGGGGGCAUGCCUGUUCGAGCGUCAUUUAAACCCUCAAGCUCAGCUUGGUGUUGGGGCCUGCCCACCGGCAGCCCUUAAAAUCAGUGGCGGUGCCAUCUGGCUCUAAGCGUAGUAAUUUCUCUCGCUAUAGGGUCCCGGUGGAGACUUGCCAAAACCCCCAAUUUUUCUAUGGUUGACCUCGGAUCAGGUAGGGAUACCCGCUGAACUUAAGCAUAUC
rnacentral:rRNA from 1 species